rnacentral:rRNA from 1 species
AGAGUUUGAUCAUGGCUCAGAAUCAACGCUGGCGGCGCGCCUAACACAUGCAAGUCGAACGAGAAAGCAGGAGCAAUCUUGUGAGUAAAGUGGCGUACGGGUGAGUAACACGUGGAUCAUCUACCCUCUUGUGGGGGAUAACCCUGGGAAACCGGGGCUAAUACCGCAUAAGUCCGAGAGGAGAAAGCAGCAAUGCGCAGGAGGAGGAGUCCGCGGCCGAUUAGCUAGUUGGUAGGGUAAAAGCCUACCAAGGCUACGAUCGGUAGCCGGCCUGAGAGGGCACACGGCCACACUGGCACUGAAACACGGGCCAGACUCCUACGGGAGGCAGCAGUGGGGAAUCUUGCACAAUGGGGGCAACCCUGAUGCAGCGACGCCGCGUGAGCGAUGAAGCCCUUCGGGGUGUAAAGCUCUUUCGGCAGGGAAGAUUAUGACGGUACCUGCAGAAGCAGCUGCGGCUAACUACGUGCCAGCAGCCGCGGUAAUACGUAGGCAGCAAGCGUUGUUCGGAGUUACUGGGCGUAAAGGGUGUGUAGGCGGUUUUCUAAGUCUGGUGUGAAAUCUCCCGGCUCAACUGGGAGGGUGCGCCGAAAACUGGAAGGCUAGAGUGCGGGAUGGGAGAGUGGAAUUCCUGGUGUAGCGGUGAAAUGCGUAGAUAUCAGGAGGAACACCGGUGGUGUAGACGGCUCUCUGGACCGCAACUGACGCUGAGACACGAAAGCGUGGGUAGCAAACAGGAUUAGAUACCCCAGUAGUCC